UGGGUUAGCCUAUAUUAACAUCAC
rnacentral:siRNA from 1 species